UACGGGGGGGGCAAGCGUUGUUCGGAAUUACUGGGCGUAAAGGGCUCGUAGGCGGCCAACUAAGUCAGACGUGAAAUCCCUCGGCUUAACCGGGGAACUGCGUCUGAUACUGGAUGGCUUGAGAUUGGGAGAGGGAUGCGGAAUUCCAGGUGUAGCGGUGAAAUGCGUAGAGAUCGGGAGGAACAUCAGUGGCGAAGGCGGCCAUCUGGGACAACACUGACGCUGAAGCACGAAAGCGUGGGGAGCAAACAGG
rnacentral:rRNA from 1 species